rnacentral:rRNA from 1 species
UACAGAGGUCUCAAGCGUUGUUCGGAUUCAUUGGGCGUAAAGGGUGUGUAGGUGGCGCGCUAAGUCGGGUGUGAAAUUUCGGAGCUUAACUCCGAAACUGCAUUCGAUACUGGCGUGCUUGAGGACUGGAGAGGAGACUGGAAUUCAUGGUGUAGCAGUGAAAUGCGUAGAGAUCAUGAGGAAUACCAGAGGCGAAGGCGGCUACCUGGACAAUUGCUGACGCUCAGGCACGAAAGCGUGGGGAGCAAAAGGG